rnacentral:rRNA from 1 species
GCUAAAAAUCUAGCCUUACCACACCUCAUAAAAACCCCAUCCCACCUCAAAUAAACUAAAACAUUCAUUUGAUAAGUAGAGGCGAUUGAAAACCUAGUUAGAGCUAUAACCAUAGUACCGCAAGGAAAAGAUGAAAUAAAAAUGAAAUAAAAUUUAAGCACAAAAAAGCAGUGCCACACUCUCGUACCUUUUGCAUCAUGGUUUAACUAGUUUAAUCAAGCAAAAAGAACUCCAGUUUGACCCCCCGAAACUAGACGAGCUACUUCGAGGCAGCUUAAUGAGCGCACCCGUCUCUGUUGCAAAAGAGUGGGAAGACCUCCAAGUAGCGGUGAUAGACCUAACGAGUCUAGUGAUAGCUGGUUACUUAAGAAAAGGAUUUUAGUCCCACCUAAAGCAUCUUUAAUCUCUUUAAAAUACUUCUGUGUUUUAGUUUCACUCAAAUGAGGUACAGCCCGUUUGAAAUAAGGGUACAACCUACGCUAAAGGGUAAUUUACUGUGACAACCUAUAAACAAGUGGGCCUAAAAGCAGCCACCUUUAAAAUAGCGUCAAAGCUUAUCUAUUUUAUCCUAUAAUCCCACAAUACUUCCUGAACCCUUUACCUUUAUUAAGUUAUUCUAUAUUAUUAUAGAAGCCAUAAUGUUAAAACUAGUAACAAGAGGUAAAACCUCUCUUAAAUGUAAGUGUAAGCCAGAAAGGAUAUACCACUGACAAUCAACGUCUAUGAUACAAAACAGCAACUUCACUAGAAAAUCCUGCUAUUACUAACGUUAAUCUAACACCAGCACAUUUCAAGAAAGAUCAAAAGAAAAAGAAGGAACUCGGCAAACAUUAACCUCGCCUGUUUACCAAAAACAUCGCCUCUUGCAACUUAUAAGAGGUCCAGCCUGCCCAGUGACCUAGUUCAACGGCCGCGGUAUCCUAACCGUGCGAAGGUAGCGUAAUCACUUGUUCUUUAAAUAAGGACUAGUAUGAAUGGCACCACGAGGGUAACACUGUCUCCUUUUUCUAAUCAAUGAAACUGAUCUUCCCGUGAAGAAGCGGGAAUUGUAAUAUUAGACGAGAAGACCCUAUGGAGCUUCAAACUAUAUAGCAUUGACUAUUACUUUUAUUCUUCAGAGCUCAAACACUUAUUCUAGCCUUAUGACUAUUAGUUUUAGGUUGGGGUGACCACGGAGCAUAAAUUAACCUCCACGAUGAACAGAACCACUCUUGAACUAAAAACCACAAUUUUAAGCACCAAUAAAUUGACAUAAAUUGACCCAAUUUUUGAACAACGAACCAAGUUACCCUAGGGAUAACAGCGCAAUCCACUUCAAGAGCCCCUAUCGACAAGUGGGUUUACGACCUCGAUGUUGGAUCAGGGUAUCCCAGUGGUGCAGCCGCUACUAAAGGUUCGUUUGUUCAACGAUUAAAACCCU